CGUACGGCAUCUAUACAUGCAGUCGAGCGAACUGAUUAGAAGCUUGCUUCUAUGACGUUAGCGGCGGACGGGUGAGUAACACGUGGGCAACCUGCCUGUAAGACUGGGAUAACUUCGGGAAACCGAAGCUAAUACCGGAUAGGAUCUUCUCCUUCAUGGGAGAUGAUUGAAAGAUGGUUUCGGCUAUCACUUACAGAUGGGCCCGCGGUGCAUUAGCUAGUUGGUGAGGUAACGGCUCACCAAGGCAACGAUGCAUAGCCGACCUGAGAGGGUGAUCGGCCACACUGGGACUGAGACACGGCCCAGACUCCUACGGGAGGCAGCAGUAGGGAAUCUUCCGCAAUGGACGAAAGUCUGACGGAGCAACGCCGCGUGAGUGAUGAAGGCUUUCGGGUCGUAAAACUCUGUUGUUAGGGAAGAACAAGUACAAGAGUAACUGCUUGUACCUUGACGGUACCUAACCAGAAAGCCACGGCUAACUACGUGCCAGCAGCCGCGGUAAUACGUAGGUGGCAAGCGUUAUCCGGAAUUAUUGGGCGUAAAGCGCGCGCAGGCGGUUUCUUAAGUCUGAUGUGAAAGCCCACGGCUCAACCGUGGAGGGUCAUUGGAAACUGGGGAACUUGAGUGCAGAAGAGAAAAGCGGAAUUCCACGUGUAGCGGUGAAAUGCGUAGAGAUGUGGAGGAACACCAGUGGCGAAGGCGGCUUUUUUGGUCUGUAACUGACGCUGAGGCGCGAAAGCGUGGGGGAGCAAACAGGAUUAGAUACCCUGGUAGUCCACGCCGUAAACGAUGAGUGCUAAGUGUUAGAGGGUUUCCGCCCUUUAGUGCUGCAGCUAACGCAUUAAGCACUCCGCCCUGGGGAGUACUGGUCGCAAGACUGAAGCUCAAAGGAAGUUGACGGGGGCCCGCACAAGCCGUUGGAGCAUGUGGUUUCAUAUCGAAAGCAACUGCUGAAGAAAACGUAACGACGUCUUGACAUCCUCUGGAGAUGUCUCGAGCAUAAAGUCGCGUCCCAUGCGGAAGAAAUAACUGACCAGCUGCUGCAUUGAUUGAUCCUCCAGCUCGUGUCUCUGAACCGAUGGGUACAUCCGCCACUCCAGCAGCCAUGACUAGUUGCUGCAGUAACCUUUGACGCU
rnacentral:rRNA from 1 species